rnacentral:lncRNA from 1 species
AUGAGGAGGAAGAGGAGGAGGAGGAAGACACCCUCCUCCCCUGCGCUCGGGCGACCAGGCAAAAGGUCUGGCGCUUUCUCCCGGCCCCCAGGCCCCGGCUCCCGGGAGGCCUCGCCCCGGCACCCCCAGCCCUCCGCAACUUUCCCUCCGCUCGCGCCCGCCUCUCCUCCGGGACCGAGGCCUGUCGGGCGCCUUCCCGCCCGCCCUCCCUUUCCCCCCCGCCCCGACCCCGGGCGGGCGGCCGGCCGACCUCGAGCCGCGGCGCCUCCUCCUAAAAUGGCAGGUCCCUCCCUCCGCCCGACCGGCCUCGGCGCGGGCCCCGGCUACAGGCCACAGGGAGGGAAGCCGGGCCGCCGGGCGCCGGGCGGGGCCGCGGCCGGACACUCACCGGGACGAUGGCGGGGCGCUCGCGCCGUUCCCUCCGGUGAGUCUCUGCCGCCGGCUUCCCGCCGCCGCCGCCGCUGCGCCCCCGCCGCGGCCUCCGCCGCCAGCGCCGCCCCGGCCGCCUCUCUCUCCGCCCCGGCGCUCCGGCUCCGCGGCCUCCGAGCCGCAGCCUCCUCAGGUCUCGCUCCGCUCGCGCCCGCCUCUCCUCCGGGACCGAGGCCUGUCAGGCGCCUUCCCGCCCGCCCUCCCUUUCCCCGCCCCGACCCCGGGCGGGCGGCCGGCCGACCUCGAGCCGCGGCGCCUCCUCCUAAAAUGGCAGGUCCCUCCCUCCGCCCGACCGGCCUCGGCGCGGGCCCCGGCUACAGGCCACAGGGAGGGAAGCCGGGCCGCCGGGCGCCGGGCGGGGCCGCGGCCGGACACUCACCGGGACGAUGGCGGGGCGCUCGCGCCGUUCCCUCCGGUGAGUCUCUGCCGCCGGCUUCCCGCCGCCGCCGCCGCUGCGCCCCCGCCGCGGCCUCCGCCGCCAGCGCCGCCCCGGCCGCCUCUCUCUCCGCCCCCGGCGCUCCCGGCUCCGCGGCCUCCGAGCCGCAGCCUCCUCAGGUCUCGCUGCCCGGCUCGCGGGUCCGAACUGCGCCCGGUGGGGCGGGGGUGUGUGUGGAGGCCGGGGAGGCGGCAGCCCCCCUCCCCGGCAAAUACCGCAGUCCCCGGACCCCGAGCCCCGCGGCGCGGCGGGGGCCGCGCGGCCCGGCCCGGCCCGGCGCGGAGGGCGGCGGCGGCGGCGAGGCCGGGCGCCCAGUCGCGGCCGCCAGCAGCGGCGGCUUCUUUUUCCCCGAGGUGGAUUUUGUAAAUCUCACAAAAUGGCGCGCGCUCCAAAGCUGCGCAGCGAGGAGCGCCGGGGCCCGAGCGGCGGCGGCGGCGGCGGCGGCUCCUCAGCCAGGAGAGCCCGAACCGCCCGCCCCCGAGUCCCCGCACGGACAGACGGACACACACUCACACUCUCACACACACACGCGCGCACGCACCCUCGCACACGCUCCCUUACACACACACACACACACACACACACACUCUCUCACACUCACACCGGUCCCGCCCGCUCGCCGGCGGCGGCGGCGGCGGCGGCGGCAGCGGCACCAACAGCAGCAGCAGGAACAGCAGCACAAGCAGCGGCGGCGGCGGCGGCGGCGCCCGCACCCCCCGCUCGGGGUGUCCGCUCUCCUGAGCCCGACCUGGGCCGCGAUCAGCAGCAGCGACGGCAGCAGUCUCCCCGGAUCCCCCUGCCGCUCUCGCCGCCGCCACCCCCGCCUCACUCCAAUGGGGCUUUUUAUUAUUAUUCGGGCGGGAAGCGAAAGGGUUUAA